AUCAUUAUAUUAUCAUUCAGCAAACGGAACACGGUGUAAAUCCGUGGCAUAUCCCGAUGCUGUAACCCUUUUUGUUUUCUUUGGCAUUUUUUAGUCACUGUUGUAAUGUUUUUUUACAAUGGGAAGGCUGUCUAAAGAUGGGGAAGCCAGAAGACGUGCUGAAUGAUUAAAACAAGU
rnacentral:ncRNA from 2 species